GCAAGUCGAGCGCUACCUUCGGGUGGAGCGGCGGACGGGUUAGUAACGCGUGGGAAUAUACCCUUUUCUACGGAAUAGCCUCGGGAAACUGAGAGUAAUACCGUAUACGGCCUUCGGGCGAAAGAUUUAUCGGAGAAGGAUUAGCCCGCGUUAGAUUAGGUAGUUGGUGGGGUAAUGGCCUACCAAGUCUACGAUCUAUAGCUGGUUUUAGAGGAUGAUC
rnacentral:rRNA from 1 species